rnacentral:misc_RNA from 1 species
GAUGAAGAACGUAGCGAAAUGCGAUAAGUAAUGUGAAUUGCAGAAUUCAGUGAAUCAUCGAAUCUUUGAACGCACAUUGCGCCCGCCAGCAUUCUGGCGGGCAUGCCUGUUCGAGCGUCAUUUCAACCCUCGAGCCCCCCCGGGGGCCUCGGUGUUGGGGGACGGCACACCAGCCGCCCCCGAAAUGCAGUGGCGACCCCGCCGCAGCCUCCCCUGCGUAGUAGCACACACCUCGCACCGGAGCGCGGAGGCGGUCACGCCGUAAAACGCCCAACUCUUCUAAGGUUGACCUCAGAUCAGGUAGGAAUACCCGCUGAACUUAAGCAUAUCAAUAAGCGGAGGA